rnacentral:antisense_RNA from 1 species
UUUUUAGUAGAGACGGGGUUUCACCAUGUUACCUAGGAUGGUCUCUGCUAGUCUCGAUUUCCUGACCUCAUGAUCCACCCGCCUUGGCCUCCCAAAGUGCUGGGAUUAUAGGCGUGAGACACCGCGCCUGGCCCCCUCUCCUUCUGAAGAAAGGAACAACCGUAUUUUAUAUUUGCCACACAGUGUUUGUUUCUUCAGCUCCACAAAGGUCUGUCUGACAAAUAGUGGGACCUCACCUGUUCUGAUGGGGGCUCCCAUUUCUGCCCCUUCUGGAGGACCAGGAACACUGUAUUGCCUGCCAGAGUUUUGAAGGAAGGACUCUUCUUCUGUCUCUACAGUUGUGCCAUCUUCCUCCAGUACCAGGAAGAAGGGCUUGUCUGCCAGCAUCAGAGUGCCCUGGACCUGGGGAAUAAGGGUCUUGACUUUUGCCCAAGCUGAAAUGCAGUGGCACAGUCACUGCUCACUGUAGCCUUGACUCUGGAGCUGCACUGAUGCCCCCACCUCUCUGUGCAGCUGUGUGACCUCAGAUCCUGAAGAUCUUCGUGGACAAUCUCUUUGCUAUUGUCCCGCUGAAGCAGGCCACAGCUGUGCGCUGCUUGGACAUGAGUGCCUCCCGUAAGAAGCUGGCCAUGGUAGAUGAAAAUGACACUUGCCUGGUGUAUGACAUUGACACCAAGGAGCUGCUUUUUCAGGAACCAAAUGCCAACAGUGUGGCCUGGAACACCCCGUGUGAGGACAUGCUCUGCUUCUUGGGAGGAGGCUACCUCAACAUCAAAGCCAGCACCUUCCCUGUGCACCAGCAGAAGCUGCAGGGCUUUGUGGUCGGCUACAGUGGCUCCAAGAUCUUCUGCCUCCACGUCUUCAUUUCUGCUGUGGAGGUGCCGCAGGUAACUGGGAGCACCUGUCCACUCUCGGCACUGGCAAGGCCAAUAAGACUAGGGAAGCCGGGCCCCUGGCUGGUGCUUUGAGGAGAGAGUAGCAAGGAGAGAAGAAUGGCAACUGUGAUGUCAUGGGAGGCAGUCUGGGCUUGGAACCCUCAGCCCUAUCUCCACUCCUUGCAACCUGUGUGACUGGGGCAAACAGCUCAACCUCCCUGAGCAUCAGUUUCUUCCUGGUCCCCCUUCCGGCAGGGAUUUGGGGGGGUAUACAGUGUUGUCAGCAGAGUGUAUUUUACAGAGAGUCCAAUGUGGGCCGAGUGGAGCAAGCAACAAAGCCGGGAGUCCGGCAGGGUGUGUGCGUGAGCACGUGUGUGAUGGUGGUGAUGUGUGUGAGAGAGAGAGGGGAGAGAGAGAAUGAG